rnacentral:ncRNA from 1 species
AAAAAAUUUGAUUCUAGUUUUUUAGUUUGAUUUAUAUUUUUAUUAUAUGUAAAUUUUUGUGUAGAAAAUUAUUUAAAUAGUAAUUUUAGUUUAUAUUUUAUACAGCAAUAAUUAAAUUUAUACAAUGAAAGAAAUUUUGAUAUAGAAAUAUAUAAUAGCAUUGGUCAAAUUUGUGCCAGCAACCGCGGUUAAACAGAUGAUGCAAUUAAAUUUUAUCUAGCAACAAUAAAUAAGAUUUAUUUUAAUUUAAAAUUAAAUUUAUUAAGUGAAAUUAGAAAUUUAAAUAAAGUUAACAAAUAAAUUAUGAGGUUGUGAAAUUCCAUUAUUAAACUAGGAUUAGAUACCCUAUUAUAAGGAAUGUAAAUUAAAAAUGUUGGGGGAGUAGUAGUUAUGUUCUUGAAAUUUAAAGAAUUUGGCGGUAUUUUAGUCUUUUCAGAGGAACCUGUCCUAUAAUUGAUGAUCCACGAUUAAUUGUACUUAAUUUACUAGUUUAUAUAUCGUCGUAGGUUGAAUAUCUUUAAAGAGAUGAAAAUGUUCAUGAUUUAUAAUACAAUAAAGGAAAUCAGAUCAAGGUGUAGCAUAUAAUUAAGAAGAGAUGGGUUACAAUAAAUUUAUUUAUAUGGUUAUAAUAAUUAAAAUUAUUAUAUAAAGCGGAUUUGACAGUAAUAUAUUUUAAUUAAAAUGUAUGAUUUUAGCUCUAGAAUAUGUACAUAUCGCCCGUCGCUUUCAUUGAAUCCUAAAGUGAAAUAAGUCGUAACAUAGUAGGUGUACCGGAAGGUGUACCUGGGUUGCA